AUCGGUAAUUGGGGCUAAGUCGUAACAAGGUAGCCGUAUCGGAAGGUGCGGCUGGAAUACCUCCUUUUUAGAGCUCAUU
rnacentral:rRNA from 1 species